GACGAACGCUGGCGGCGUGCUUAACACAUGCAAGUCGAACGGAAAGGCCCUGCUUUUGUGGGGUGCUCGAGUGGCGAACGGGUGAGUAACACGUGAGUAACCUGCCCUUGACUUUGGGAUAACUUCAGGAAACUGGGGCUAAUACCGGAUAGGAGCUCCUGCUGCAUGGUGGGGGUUGGAAAGUUUCGGCGGUUGGGGAUGGACUCGCGGCUUAUCAGCUUGUUGGUGGGGUAGUGGCUUACCAAGGCUUUGACGGGUAGCCGGCCUGAGAGGGUGACCGGCCACGUUGGGACUGAGAUACGGCCCAGACUCCUCCGGGAGGCAGCAGUGGGGAAUAUUGCACAAUGGGCGGAAGCCUGAUGCAGCAACGCCGCGUGCGGGAUGACGGCCUUCGGGUUGUAAACCGCUUUCGCCUGUGACGAAGCGUGAGUGACGGUAAUGGGUAAAGAAGCACCGGCUAACUACGU
rnacentral:rRNA from 1 species